rnacentral:ncRNA from 1 species
AUACGAAAAGGGCAAAUUCAUUGAAAAAUGAAGACGCAAAGCUAUAGGGACUAACGUGUUGCCAACACUAUGUCAGCCAGUUACCGAU